rnacentral:rRNA from 1 species
AUGAAAAUCAUAGGAUGGAACUGCCGGGGGCUCAGGAAUGGCCCGGCAGUUCGUAGUCUCCUCGAGUUGGGGAGAGUGGAGGAACCCGAUGUUUUGUUCUUGGCGGAGACAAAAAUGUCAGACAAGGAAAUGGAUCGAUUCCGAUGGAUGCUGGGUAUGUCACAUAUGGCAGCAUGGAGCGCACAAGGUAGGAGUAGGGGAGUGGCCUUAUUCUGGAGACGGGAGGUGGACGUGACGUUGCAGCCCUAUGGAUGGAGACACGUGGAUGUGGAUGUUACAGAGGGGGAUGGCAGGAUCUGGCGCCUAAUA